GAUGAACGCUGGCGGCGUGCCUAAUACAUGCAAGUCGAGCGAACAGACGAGGAGCUUGCUCCUCUGACGUUAGCGGCGGACGGGAGAGUAACACGUGGAUCACCUACCUAUAAGACUGGGAAAACUUCGGGAAACCGGAGCAAAUACCGGAGAAUAUAUUGAAGCGUAUGGGUCAAUAGUGAAAGACGGCGUUGCUGUCUGUUAUAGAUGGAUCCGCGCCGGUUUGGGUAGUUGGUAAGGUAACGGCGUACGACGGCAAGGCUGCGUAGCAGCGUUGAGAGGGUGAUCGGCCACCCUGGGACGGAGACACGCUCCAGACUCCUACGGGAGGCACCAGUAGGGAAUCUUGCGCAAUGGGCGAAGGCCUGACCGAGCAACGCCGCGGGCUUGAUGAAGAUCUUCGGGUCGGAAAACUCUGUUAUUAGGUUGGAACCAGUGUGUGCGUAACUAUACACGUCUUGAAGGUACCUAGUCAGAAAGCCACGGCUAACUUCGUG
rnacentral:rRNA from 1 species